UUCUCUAGGUUUUUUCUAGGGUCAUGGUCGUCACCUGGGAAUUGUGGUUUUCAGAUUUACGAAAUUACUAGUCGAUAUUUGUGCAAAUUUAGACAGUAGUAUAAUAAAUAAUAGUGGUAUAUGAAUGUGCAGCAGAUAAAAGUAGAGCACUAAUUUCCUCUAUGAUUUCCAGAUUUUACUUCAAACUACACUUAACAGAAUAAACAGAGUAAGCAACAAAAUUUAUACCAUGUUAAAAAAUUUUUAAUAUUUGAGGGGGAAAAAAAGACGUGUAAACUAAUGGUGACAAAACAAUAUAUAAAUACAGCUCUGUUUUAACAGUACCUGUAUACAUAAUUUCGGAUUACUUUGAACAGGUAAGAGCAAAGUAAAGAAGGAUGAGUCUUUGCAGAAAUGGUGCCUGCUCAUUGCCCCGUGUUGACAGCCUUUCCUGCCAUGUUCAUUCAGUCUGCUGAACCAGGAAAAAGCUUUCACUAAAAAGAUUUGCUUAGAAGAAAUAUUCAUUGCUUAUUGGAAGUCAAGAACCAGUUUUAGUAAUUUAGGGUUUUUCUUGGAAAAAAAAAAAAAGCUACUAUACUAAUGGAUUUUUUCUCAUUAAGUACUACUUUAACCAGCAUGGUAAAAACUUUUUUUUGUUUUCAGCUUCAGAAAGACAAAACUCUCCAAUUUGGACUUCUUUUCUAAGCGCUUCCUCAACUGUACAGAAUUACAAGAAGGUCUCAUCUACUGCCAAGCCUCUAUACUCACUUCUGAGUUAGUUCUCAAAGCGGAGUGAAGUAUCUGGCUUCACUUUUCUCUAAUUUUUACCAGAUGUGUUUCAGUUUAAAACUUGAUUGACAUUUAUCUUACCUUGACAGAAGCUUGAUUACUUGCGAUAGGAAAAGGUUCUUUAUGUUAUUUUUUGAUAAACAGUUACUUUUCUAUCCCAGGUUAAGAUACUAACUCUUACCCGUUCCCAAACAGCAACAGCUGAAAUUUUUUUACAUUAAACAAAUAUUAGGUGCUUGUGGCUGGCAUGAUGCCUUAGUGUCCAGUAAAGUUACUUCUUGGAUUUGCUUAUUUUGAUGAAGUUUUAGCAAAAGUAAAAUGCGAAAUCAAAUUUUCUCCAAGAGUUCUACUGAGGCGGGACUCUGUUAAACUCUGUUAAUUUAGGAUUAAAGAGAGAAAAAAAAUCCAGGAAUAAAGGCCCUUUGAUAGCAGUGGGGGAUGAGAAAGGGAAAAUGUUCUCGCUGCGGACUAAUCAGAGUGUAAUUGCUAAAGGAACCAAUCUUUCAUUAAUUGCAAAAGCAGUAAACUCAAUCAGCUACAGUGCCAAAAUAUUGCUGUUCAGCUGAAGAAUUUUAUUGAAUUAAUUGAUUUAAUUGUUUUAAGUAAUGCUGUUAUAAGAGUCAUUAUUAAGAAACAUUAUAUAAUAUCAAUUAAGCAACAUUGUAUGAUCUCAAUAUAAUUUUCUGAAACAUAAAAACUUUUUAUGAGGCAAGUGAUUUUCUUCUCAAAAAAAAAAAAAAAAGAUGAGACAAUGAUUUUGAUUUAAAAGAGCAUCCUGACUAGGCUAUGUUUCAUUAGAAAUUGCCAGUACUUGAUUUUGGAUGUCAUCAUAGGUGAUGUGAAGCACUUUGUAAGUAAAGGGUGCUUUAACUAUGUUUAGACUAGCUUAAACAUUUCUGAUAGCAUUUUCUCAGAGUCAAAAAGUUGGUUUCAUCCAAUCUGCCUAAUCUGGAUACAAAGGACCAGGGAAGUCUGCCUCCUGCCUUUGCACACCCUCCCUCCACUCCUUUUUAGUCCUGCAGGAACAUUGUACAAGUGCUGCAGGUUACUCGCUACUUCCAGAAUUUGUUUAAACUGUAAUAAGCAGUCCUGUCUUAUCUUCCAGUCUUCUGCCUGAUUAUUGUCAUUUACAUCUCUCUCCCUUCUGCCAGAUGUUAGUGCAGUCACAGGACGACACUCUGGGUUAAAACUAAAUUCUUUUUUUUUCCCUCCCAUAUGUAUUUAUGACUAUUUGCAGUCACUGGGGAAGCAAGGAGAGUGAAAACAGUGAUUGGGUCAGUGUGAAGUUGGCACUGCCUCUUUUAGCAUCAGCAUUUGCUUAUGUUGACUUAAGGGAGUUGUGGGACUACAGAGUUAGCAUUGCUCCUACAGGGCUCAAACCCAGCCAGGGUCUCUGGAGCUAGAAGCGGGAACCCAGACACAUCAGCCACUUGUUCCCUUCCUUCCCCAACAGUGUUUGGGCUGAAUGAAAAUUAAUCUCAUUGACACCAGUUCUGAUGUAUCAUCUCUUAAACUCAAAACCAGAGGGAAAGUGCUGUAUGUAACCCUAUAAAAACAGCAAGUGCAGUGUCCUGGCCAUCUCUGUGUAAUCUUUCUGAGCCUGUGACAGAGACAAUAAAUAUUGACAUCAGUACAACAUCAAGCAAGCUGUUUGGGAAGUUCUCGUGCCACCAUAAACCUUCAGUAUAUUUUUAGCAAUAUCCCAUUAGUCAGUGAAUCACAGAUAACCUGAUAGCAUAAGAUUUGUAGGGAAAGGCAAUGUAAUUCAUUAGAUCCAAUUGCAUAAUUCAGCAGGGAACAAUCACAUUUCCAGAUGUCAAGAGGUAAAGCUUGUUAGUCUUUCAGAUAUGGUACACAAUCGAGGAGGUAGUGACAGUGACUGAGUUCCCAUAAGAUGACUUUCUCUGAACGCUAUUUGUGUUCAGAAAGUCACUUGACUUCCUACCAUCAAGCUGUGGACUCAGUGCAGCUCAAGGGUCCAAAAGGCCAAAUGGGCAAAAUGCCUCGAAAGCCUCUUGGACAAGGUUAUGCUGAAACUCAUUGCAGCUGCAAUAUGAGAAUAGGUUUGUCAUUACUGUUGCUGUUAUUUUUAGCUAUUACAGAUAUAUACAUUACAUCUAUAUCUUGUGUGGCUUGUCCUCUCAAUCAAACACCAUUGCACUAGCAACCAUACAGGUAGGCAGUACAUAACUGUUUCUAACUCACAUUUUUCAGAAAGGAAUAGAGCUUGAAACUCAGGAAAUCUCAUAAGUUAGGACUGGAAUUCAGGAAGGCAUCUUUUCCAUGGAAGGCCUCUCAGGAUUAAGUGCAGUACUGAGAGGUGAAGGACAAACUGCUGGGUCAGAUACAGGCUACAACCACAUGAAGCUGCUAAACUUGUUGGAUCAAUGGCUUGAUCAGAAAGAGCAAAGCCUUGCAGAAUUUUCAGUUUGGUCAGUGCAAAAGUAUGUUUUGCACAUGGUAGCAGGAGGGAUAUAAAAACAUGCCAGUGUAAUAAACAUGUUUCAGCUAGUAUAAUAAACAGAAUUUGGAGCCUUCAGAGCUGAGCCAGAUUUCUCUUUCAAAAGAGUAAAAAUGCAACACCAGGCAUUGUCUCAUAUGACAAAUGAUAAUAAUGAGUAAUAACAAUAACAUGAAUCAUUGUUAUAAGUCAUCUGGUGAUUUCAAAAAUUUUUUAGAAACUCUAAAGCAUUCAGAAAGUUACUCCCACGGGGUGAGGAACACUAUCAAGAGAAUUAUGUGAAACCGAUAGAGAUAAAGCUUUUCAACAAAGAAAAAGUAGGAACAAGAAUGUGUUACAUAGAGUAUGUUUUCAAUAAUGUUAACCCUCUUUGCAUUUUGUCUUUUGUUUUAUGUGGUUUUCUAUAUUAUUCAAUCCUUAAACAGAUGAUAAAUUGCAGCCAACUUUCCUUGAGGGACAUUGCUACUUAGCCUUGAAUGUACUUAUCCCUGUGAUGUCCAAGUGAAAUAGGGAUGUACUGCAUUCCCAAUUUUGCAGGUUAAAGGCUGGGGGAGCAGAGAUUCACUAAGGACAUUGCAAGAUCUUAUUCUGAACUGUCUUGAGUUUGUCUACAAGACUGACCAAGCCGAGCUCCCUCAACCUCUCCUUGUAUGCCUUGCACUCCACCACCAUCUUGCUGUACUCCUUUCUGGGGGAACAAAACUCAAAAGUGCCCUAUGGAGGGGAAUAAUCUUUUCUACACCUUUGACCCACUGACUGCACUCCAGAUAAUGCAAUCCAGAUGGUUUCAUGAGAACUCUUCAAGGCCUUCACUCUGUGAACCUGGGGUGAGGAACAGUGAUGGCAGGCCUUCUAUCCCAGCACAUCAUGCUGGCACAUAUGGAGGCAUUUGAGAACUGUACACUACUAAACAAAUAUACGCUCAUCUGGCUUACUAAAAAUUAACAAAAAUGUAUGUAUGUGUCCCAUGUGUCCCCUAUUAAAUUACCUUGCUGUGAGCUCUCCCCAGCCUGUGUGACUGGAAGCGUGUUUAUCUCAUGGUAGAUAACUGCAGAUAUAUGCUGUAGUGGACACAUGUCCGGUCAUGCAAUGGGACAGGCAUUGUGCCUCAGGGAAAGGGGAUCCAUAAGCAGGCUAGUCCAGCCUAAUCCUGCUGGAAAUCCUGCUGGAAAUCUUUCCUUGUUUACAGUUGAAGGACCUUCAUGAGAAGUGGCUGCAGAGAUGGAAAUCACUUAAAUUAAAUGUUUAGGCAGGUUGGAUCUGAGCUGGUCUGCUUCUGAUGGAUUUCUCAGAAUGCAAGGGGUCAUUGCAGCUGAUGCAAAAAUUAGCCUCCUGAAAUGAGGAUGGGAAUCAAAAUAUCAAACUUAGUUUAACUCUUUAACUCUUAUUCUUUCGGGACCUGCAGGUUUUCCAGAUCUUAAAAGAAACAGAGGUUCCAAAGACAUACCUCAUGCAGCUCUGGAUGCUCCCAGAGCCCCUUAGUCUCAGCAUCACUCACUACCCAAGUCAGAGGUGUCAAAGCAGUGGUAGAUUUGAGAGUCUGAAUCAUUCACUCACAUAUGGACAGAACAUGACAGUAGCUGUGAGAAACGCCAGGCACUCUGUUAGUCACGUGAAAGGGUCGAUGUCUACCUUAGCAAAAACUACAGUGAAAAAAGACUGGAGACGUUGCAAUACAUAGUUCCAUAUAAUCAGGGGUGUUAAGACUUCUCAUAUAUAUCAGUAUAGGCUAAAGAGAUAUAAUAGCUCAAUAUUCUUCAGUGAGCUAUUACGUUUAAAAUCAUAUAAAAUCAUGGUAUUAUAUUCCAUGUUAUCCAGCUGUGGCUAGUCACUACCCAGUGAAUUCAUCAUUCCUUUGCCCCACAGCUUUGUUUGCUCAGCCUUAUUCCAUGUAGAGCAUGGACAAUAUGUUCUUUCUAGCACGUGGGCAUUUCUAGAGCAAACAACAGAUACAAGCUUGCAGCGAAAGUCUCCAGAUAGCUCCUGCCUUUGCUCAGACAAAGCUUGAAGCCAGGAAUAAUUGUCCUGACAGUGCAAGACAUUCCCAAAUAUGUUCAGAAAAUAAUGGCGGGGGAAAUGGUACCACUAAAGUAAUUUUUUUUAUGUGAGGGUUUAGAACAACAGAAGGCAUGGGGUAAAAAUCUAGAGGAUGUUUUUGUCUGUUCCUGGCAUUGUUCAGACAUAAAGAAGGCAAACAAAUUUUCAUGAUAUGUACUUCUUUGAAAUAGUGUAAAUAAUACCGUUAUACCUUAUACCCUUCCCAAAGCCUAGAUUCAUACCAUAAGCCUUUAAGCAGCAGACUGAAGUGUAUUACACAAACUGGUUGGUGACCUUAAACCCCUUCUAGGUGGUUGGAAUAAUUUUCAGAAAUGUUCUUUUCUCUCUCUAUUGAGAUUAUACAGACACUGAGGCACAUUUUCUCCCAUCCUUAAUCACUGCAGCAAAGUGCCUUUUGUUAGGUGUUAUGAACGCCUAGUUUUCCUUUUUACUUAAAAAUGUUGGGCAGCAAUAAAUACACUCUGCAGUGUCAGGAAUCAUUACAAUAGGGAGAUAUGGUAACGUCACAAAGGAAAUAUCCUGUGCCGUCCAUAGUCGUACUUAAUGUUAUAAGCACACAAACUCAAAAAGCACAGUAGUAA